rnacentral:rRNA from 1 species
GAUGAACGCUGGCGGCGUGCCUAAUACAUGCAAGUCGAGCGAACAGACGAGGAGCUUGCUCCUUUGACGUUAGCGGCGGACGGGUGAGUAACACGUGGAUAACCUACCUAUAUGACUGGGAUAACUUCGGGAAACCGGAGCUAAUACCGGAUAAUAUAUUGAACCGCAUGGUUCAAUAGUGAAAGACGGUUUUGCUGUCACUUAUAGAUGGUUCCGCGCCGCAUUAGCUAGUUGGUAAGGUAACGGCUUACCAAGGCAACGAUGCGUAGCCGACCUGAGAGGCUGAUCGGCCACACUGGAACUGAGACACGGUCCAGACUCCUAAGGGAGGCAGCAGUAGGGAAUAUUACGCAAUGGGCGAAAGCCUGAUGGAGCAACGCCGCGUGAGUGAUGAAGGUCUUCGGAUCGUAAAACUCUGUUAUUAGGGAAGAACAAAUGUGUAAGUAACUAUGCACGUCUUGACGGUACCUAAUCAGAAAGCCACGGCUAACUACGUG